rnacentral:tRNA from 1 species
GGAAAGCUCCGGCCUGUGGAGACCAGCCGGUAUUGAAAACCGGAGGCGGGCAUCGCGUCCCGGGGGUUCGAGUCCUCUGCCUUCCGC